UACGUAGGCAGCAAGCGUUGUUCGGAGUUACUGGGCGUAAAGGGUGUGUAGGCGGUUCUCUAAGUUUGGUGUGAAAUCUCCCGGCUCAACUGGGAGGGUGCGCCGAAAACUGGAGAGCUAGAGUACUGGAUGGGAGAGUGGAAUUCCUGGUGUAGCGGUGAAAUGCGCAGAUAUCGAGGAAGAACACCUAUGGCGAAGGCAGCACUCUGGGACGGUACUGACGCUGAGACGCGAAAGCGUGGGGAGCGAACAGG
rnacentral:rRNA from 1 species